rnacentral:rRNA from 1 species
UACGAGAGGCCCAAACGUUAUUCGGAUUUACUGGGCUUAAAGAGUUCGUAGGCGGCGCAGAAAGUAGGGUGUGAAAGCCCUCGGCUCAACCGAGGAAUUGCGCUUUAAACUACUGUGCUUGAGGAUGGAAGAGGGUCGCGGAAUUCCCAGUGUAGAGGUGAAAUUCGUAGAUAUUGGGAAGAACACCGGUGGCGAAGGCGGCGACCUGGUCCAUUACUGACGCUGAGGCGCGACAGCGUGGGGAGCAAACAGG